rnacentral:lncRNA from 1 species
AGCUCCUGGUACCACAGCCGCUGAGCUGGGAUGUCCAAACAUUCCAACUGACUCAUCCGUGGGGGCUUAUUGCUGCUCAUCAGAUGGACUGUCUGAACAGUUCAGGACUUCCUUUCAUCGUACCCAGCCAGUGCCUUGCACAGAACCCAUUCCCAAGAAAGAUUUGCAGUGUGAAAAUGGACCAUACUGUGGAAUAAGAGAACAGUUUCCAGAAUAGAUCGUUCUACCACCUCCUCUGGA